UACGAAGGUGGCAAGCGUUGUUCGGAUUUACUGGGCGUACAGGGAGCGUAGGCGGUUGGGUAAGCCCUUCGUGAAAUCUCCGGGCCUAACCCGGAAAGUGCGGAGGGACUGCUCGGCUAGAGGAUGGGAGAGGAGCGCGGAAUUCCCGGUGUAGCGGUGAAAUGCGUAGAGAUCGGGAGGAAGGCCGGUGGCGAAGGCGGCGCUCUGGAACAUUUCUGACGCUGAGGCUCGAAAGCGUGGGGAGCAACAGG
rnacentral:rRNA from 1 species